rnacentral:rRNA from 1 species
GAUGAACGCUGGCGGCGUGCCUAAUACAUGCAAGUCGAGCGAACAGACGAGGAGCUUGCUCCUCUGACGUUAGCGGCGGACGGGUGAGUAACACGUGGAUAACCUACCUAUAAGACUGGGAUAACUCCGGGAAACCGGAGCUAAUACCGGAUAAUAUAUUGAACCGCAUGGUUCAAUAGUGAAAGACGGUUUUGCUGUCACUUAUAGAUGGAUCCGCGCCGCAUUAGCUAGUUGGUAAGGUAACGGCUUACCAAGGCAACGAUGCGUAGCCGACCUGGGAGGGGGAUCGGCCAAACUGGAACUGAGACACGGUCCAGACUCCUACGGGAGGCAGCAGUAGGGAAUCUUCCGCAAUGAGCGAAAGCCUAACGGAGCAACGCCGCGUGAGUGAUGAAGGUCUUCGGAUCGUAAAACUCUGUUAUUAGGGAAGAACAAAUGUGUAAGUAACUAUGCACGUCUUGACGGUACCUAAUCAGAAAGCCACGGCUAACUACGUGCCAGCAGCCGCGGUAA